ACACUGUGUCAAAGAGUAACGCAGGUGUCCUAAGGCGAGCUCAGGGAGGACAGAAACCUCCCGUGGAGCAGAAGGGCAAAAGCUUGCUUGAUCUUGAUUUUCAGUAUGAAUACAAACCGUGAAAGUGGGGCCUCACGAUCCUUCUUGCUUUUUGGGUUGUAAGCAGGAGGUGUCAGAAAAGUUACCACAGGGAUAACUGGCUUGUGGUGGCCAAGCGUUCAUAGUGACAUCGCUUUUUGAUCCUUCGAUGUCAGCUCUUCCUGUCAUUGUGAAGCAGAAUUCACCAAGCGUUGGAUUGUUCACCCACUAAUAGGAAACGUGAGCUGGGAUUAGACCGUCGUGAGACAGGUUAGUUUUACCCUACUGAUGAUGUAUAUUGUUAUUUGUGGAUCGAAUAAACCUUACACCAUUGGCUCGUUCUCUUAUUUGGUUGCUUACAGUGAAUUGCGGUUUGGCUAUCAGUUUUUUUCUUAUUCACGGUCAUCCUUUUUGGUUACUACGUUGCACUGCCAUGUUUCAUAGUACUGAAGGGCCCCAGAGUCGAUGCAUCCAUCCUUUGUACCUAUACUUAUCCCAGACUACGUUCCACUACCAUAUUUCAUAGUACUGAAGGAUCCCAGAGACAAUGCAUACAUCCUGUGUACCUAUACUUAUCACAGACUACAUUCCAGUGCCAUGUUUCAUAGUACUGAAGGAUCCCAGAGAUGAUGCAUUCGUCCUGUGUACCGUUCCACUACUAUGUUUCAUAGUACUGAAGGGUCCCAGAGACAAUGCAGCCAUUCUGUGUACCUAUACUUAUCACAGACUACAUUCCAGUGCCAUGUUUCAUAGUACUGAAGGAUCCCAGAGAUGAUGCAUUCGUCCUGUGUACCUAUACUUAUCCCUGGGACUGCGUUCCACUACUAUGUUUCAUAGUACUGAAGGAUCCCAGAGACAAUGCAUACAUCCUGUGUACCUAUACUUAUCACAGACUACAUUCCAGUGCCAUGUUUCAUAGUACUGAAGGGUCCCAGAGACAAUGCAGCCAUUCUGUGUACCUAUACUUAUACCAGACUACGUUCCACUGCAGUGUUUCAUUGUACUGAAGGGUCCCAGAGACGAUGCAUCCAUCCUGUGUACUUGUACUUAUCCCAGACUACGUUCCACUGCCACGUGUUUUAGUACUGAAGGGUUCCAGAAACAAGCAUGAAGAAUGAACCAAAUGACAUUACCUGAAUUAAAGAGCAAAGCUAGAAGGGAGGAGUAUACACUGCGACCUGUAUGGGUCGGGAGCCGGGGAGGGGGCAAAUAGCUAAAAACGUACAAACAGAACGAUAAUAGGACACCAAAAUUAUGCCCAAAGUAACAGAGAAAACGGUGUGAUCUGGGUAUGAAGAACUUUCAGUAUUUUUUCUUAAGAUAUCCAUUGCAGGUUGUCAACCUUCAGUUUCUAGAGAAAAAGCACUGUUUCUAUUACAGCAGCACGCCAGUAUUACUGGGUACAUUCUUAUGACAUUAAAUGGGAAGACACAAAGUGGCAUGGAAAUGUCGAUUCAAUUUCACAUCCUGUGACAUUAAAUGAGAAGACACAAAGUGGCAUGGUAAUGUCGAUUCACUGUCACAUCCUGUGACAUUAAAUGGGAAGACACAAAGUGGCACGGGAAUGUCUAUUCACUGUCACAUCCUGUGACAUUAAAUGUGAAGACACAAAGUGGCAUGGAAAUGUCGCUUUCGCACUCUGACAUUAAAUCACAAAGUGGCACGGUAAUGUUAUUUACUGUCACAUUUUUCAUACAAGAAGAUGGAGCAGUCAAGUGAUGGUUUGGAUGCUCCAAAGGCUAUUGAAAAUGCCCUGAUCAAAAAAGAUAUCGGGGCUAAGCAAUUACUCAAGGUAUAAGACAGUGUAGUAAAAAAAAAAAGAUGUCUUAAUAAAACAAACAAAAAGAUUUAUUGUGUCUUGAAUUACCAGCUAGAAAAUGUCAAAACACCAGUAUCUGCAUCUUAAAGGAAUCUACUAUGUAGCUCCAGCUUACUAAUUCCUCCUAUAUUAUGUACCAGUGUGUUAUGUAGUGUCCAUGGAAAAUGUUUAAAUGAAGUCUCUAGUUCAUAACUUCACACAAUGACCAGGUACUUCAUUUAAAUAUAACAACAGAUGCUGAUGCUGACACAGUGCUGUUUUUUCUUCUGUGCCAUAUGUCAGAAAUAUAAGAUCUAGCAUAUAUUAAUCAAAUAACAUUUCAUCCCAGCCAAAUAAUAAAAUAAACAACAUAGUUUCUUUUGUUUAUGGCCUCUGAUUGUCAGUUUUAGCCAAUUUUGGUACUUUAUUUUCUGUUUCUUUCCUUGCUUAAUUCCCAGUUAACUAUAUGCAUAAAUGUGCUAGAAGAAAGGCCACAUAGGGUUGUCAAUAUCUUAAAUUAAAUGGAGCUAUAGUACUAUUUAUGUGGCUAUAACAAGUAAAGAAACACUAAGGCAAGGGACUGCACAACAUGUAACAAAUUUGUUUCACAAUAUUUUGCGGGCUCCUGAGUGAUAUAGAAGACUAUUUUGAACUGAAAAGUGAUGACAAGAUGUUUACAGCAGUGUGAUUAUAUACAGUAUUUUUCAGAAAAAGUUGCUAAAAAACAUUUUUUAUAUGGCAGGCUCAUAAAGAAGCCUAAAUAUGGAAAAAAUAAAUAAGUAAAAAUGUGGGUUAACAUUCUGCCUCAUGUAGGUGGAUUUUGUUAGUAUCAUUUAAAGUAUGUCAAUUCUGUAAUGGUUCACCCUGUUUGACCGAGAGUAGUAAGGUACAGUUUAAAAAAAGAAGUAAUUAUACUGAGGUGCGACAGUCUCCCCAUACUGAUGUAACAGUAACAAUGCUGUGUGUCAUGUGGUCACCCACCAAGUGGCCAAAGUGAUAGCAGCUGCAUGACCAACCACCAUGAUUCAGCAGAUUUGCCUUAGGUAGUUCAUUCAUACACAUCCAGUCAGCUGUAAACAGUGUAAGGAAUAUUAUGUCAAAAGGAAAGACGAUUUGGUCCAGCACAUCAACACUUGAAAGAAGGAGUGGUCCAGAACUCAAUAUUCUAGUAGACUACAUCUGCUGAAUAGACCUGUAUCAUUUCAAAGGAGUGCAAACUGACAUUUCUCCCAAGACAGGAAUAUAUCAUAUGCAUUUCAUAUAAAAUAUGUUGAAUAUUUUGGAAGCCUCAAAAGAUGAAAUAUAAUGCUAAAGGCACCUGGUUAGAAGGAAAGGUAUUUUAGUUAGUGAUGGACAGAACAAUGGGAUCUGUGUUCCUUGGUUCUGCAUGCCCUUCAUUAGAGUGCAUGUAAUAGUAAUGCUAUCUGCAAAGCACAAAGUCAAAUAACAUAUUUGUGAAUUUCACAAGUGAUCAAGCACCACCAUUAAAUACAAAGUAUUUCCUAAACUCUGUUUCCCUGUACCUGUGUAGCAUUAAAAUGUGUUGCACAGAAUGUUAUCAUCAGAGGUAGAUUGACCUACAAAGGAAGCUUGUCCAAGUUAUAUGACUUAAUCAUAAAAAAUAAUAAUAAUUUUGAUGCAAAAUUCUGGAGUUUUGUAGAUAAUAGUGGAUUGAGUGACUCAAUAGAUGGUAAGAAUAAAACUUUGUUACUUAAGUCAGUUAGUUAAACUUCUUCAUGUUUAUACUGGAAAGCUUUUUAUGUGGAAAUACAUGCAUAGAAUGCUUGUUAUUCCCUGUUAAAUCUCUAAGCUUAGUAAAAUGACUUCACUUUGUUGGAGAUGUAAAGAUAUACAAGCUGAUUGGACGCACUUGUGUAUGGAUUGUGAAAAAUUAAAUGUAUAUUGAGAAGAGAUAAGUAUGUUAAGUGGUCAUGGUCUGAUAACUGUUAACUAAAUCAGUAAUACUAAUGAAUGUUCCACUUCCUUUAUCUGUAAAAGCCAAACAAUUGUUCUGUAGUCUUUCCUCCAGUAGCUAGAAAAGUAUUACAAAAAACUGGAAAUUGAAUUUGGUUCCUACAUUCAAAUAAUUCUUAAAUUUAACAGCAGUUGUAGUGUAAAACUGAAAAAGAAGUGAUCAGAAUAAGAUCUAUAAAUCAUACUAAGACUUUCAGUGGUUGAGAUUACCGUGAAAUGUUAUUGAAAUACCAAGAUUCUUAAUGUGUUAAUUGUAUAAGAUUACCUUGAUGAGUGAAGUGUAUUCUUAUCAUUGUAUACCUGUAUGUGAUGAUGAAUUUCUUCCGAUCUGUGCAUAUGUUGUAAAUGUUAAAUUAACAUUUUCAUAUAAUAAUGUGUUGCACACAGCCGUGCUUCUCUCACUGUUUACUGUGCAAACACAAGAAAGACAUUUUACACAUAGCAUUUUGUUAGCUUUCAUACAUCCUCUCCAUGCUGUUUUGUGUAGCCACUUUGAAGUUGGUAUCACAAAACACCACUUGUUAUCACAGAAUAUUGCUCCAUUACAAACAAUCCUUAACAGCUUGUUUAUGCAGUCAUUUUUAGUGCAGUGUUUUGCUUUGCCCUAGUCUCUUUAGAAGAAAGAUAUAUAUUCACAAAGACUCUCUUACUGAACGUUUAGUCGAUAAUUCAGGCUGCAUUUAAUCCUGCUUAGAUAAUGGGCAUGCAUACAUCAGUACCCCACUGGACAAUGUUCUCCAACACAGUAUUAAUGUGCAGAUUUCACCCAGUAUAAAAACAAGUCAUCCACUUCACCGGAGCAUAUUAAGCUACUGUAAAGCACUGACUGAAAUAAAAAAGUUAACGGCAGUCAUUUUAAGUUCACCGAAUGUGGCUUUGCUGUUAGCAUAAAAUGAAAAGGGCAGUAAAGAUGUGAAGAUUUUCUUUUGACUUUACCGUUGCCAAGACUGGUACGGAGAAAAAAUAAAAGAAAAAAAAGUAAUGAAA